rnacentral:lncRNA from 1 species
AGAGAGAAACACGCCCCGUGACUCAGAGGCUGUGCCAGGUGUCGGUGGGGCCAAGCCGCUGCCAGGCACAAGAGCAGUGGGAUGGAUCUAGUCCACAGGAAGGUCUUCUGGGGCAGGAGGAAAUCCAGGCUCGGAGGGGAAGAAGCUGGGAGCGAGUGUGGACAAAUCCUGCUGGCUGAGCCUCAGGGGCACCCGAGACAACAGCCCAGAGGACAUCCUUUGAACCUAAGGAGGAUUACCGGGUUUCUGAAAGGACUGCACACAAACAAAGGGCCCCAGAGUGUCAUUCCUCUGGACGAAACCUCCCAAGGCUUCCAACAGUUGGUGCAGGAGGGGAAGUUUCUGGAAGCCUACCUGAGCGUCUCCGCGUCAGCAUGGGAAGGGCAGGACUGCGGCCCCCAGUACCAGGCUCUGGCCCAGAGCAUGUGGCAAGUGGUCCAGCAGGCUCUGGAGGGCGUCAGGCUCGGCCAGGAGCUGGAGCUGAAGCUCCAGGCGGUGCUGGACACUGUGGAGUACACACAGGACCAGCCCCCGAGCCCGGAGGCCGGUACCCUCGAGGACGGCACAGUCGCCACCUGGGGCAGUCAGCUGGAGAGGCUGCUGAGAAAUGACGCUGAGGCCCGAGUGCCCACCUGGGACCCCAGGGACGAGCUGGGCCCUUUCCUGGAGAAGCUAAAGGAGGCUGUGAGACAGGGCCUGGGGUUGCUGAGGGCGAGCCGGCUGGGGGCCCGUCUCUGGACGAUCUACAGCACCUGCUUCCAGGAGGUCCUCCUCAGCCGCCUCUUGGAGCUCAAGCACUCCUGCGGCACCAGCUGGAACAGCUGCUGCGUGCUGUAUGCCUGGGGCAGGACGACCUUGUUUGGGCAGCUGGGCAGGGAGACGCUUCCGAAUGCACCUUCCACCUCCCAGAAGCCCACGGCCGGGUACCUCUUGGACUCCAUGAUGUUUGUGACCUGGAUGUCCCAAGUGCAGAAGAAGCUGGUGGGGCUGGUCCAGGAAAGGCUGGAGGAGACUCUAGAAAAUGUCCUGAUCUGCGAUCAGAAAAAGUGGGCCCCGUUCUCCCACCCAACGUUCCUUGAAAUCUUCCAGCUGCUGGAAGAAGCCAUAAUUGCAGCAAGACCCAUUGGACCAUCGGUCACUAGCCAAGUUCAAGCCAUGGUUCUGGAAAUAUUUUCAAAGUUUCUGAACAGGUACCAGGACAAGGCUGUCCACUUCCUGCAGCAGAACGCCACUGCGGGGGCCUUCCCCGAGGUGCACCUGCUGGGAAACUGCUGCAUCCUCAGGAAAACGUGGCAGGAGCUGAGUCAGGCAUGCUUUCCACCUGCAGACCUGGUGACCGCGGUACAGGGUGCCAUCCACGCCAUUGAGGGCCACAGUCAGGACCACCUCCUGCUUAGAGUCAGAGCCCUGUGCCAGAAUCUGCUGAGGGGCCACUUCGGAAGGAAGGAGAGGGAUCUGGUCAAGGCUCUGCAGUCCCUGUGGCAGGGCCUGGAGGGCUGUCCCAGCCUGCACUCCACUCCCGUGUAUGAGAGCAUCAUGCAAAGUUUGCACAUGGUGGUCUUUGGGGAGUACGUCCAGGCCCUGGCCACCCACCUCAGGAUGCUGGCGCCCAGGAAGUGGGGGAGCCUGAGGACUCAGGUGGAGACGGACAUCUGGAAGUUGGACAACAUCUUCAGGAAGCACGGGGGUCUGGCAGAACCCUGACUGCCCUGAACAGAGGUGGAAGUGAGCAGUAGCUUCAGGGAACCUCGGGCUGUGGAAGUUGUGUGACUCCAGCAGCUACCUAAGGCAAAGGAUCUGGGUGCCCCUGAUCCCAGUGCCCACCCAGUGGCCACUUCAUAAAUGACAGCCUGAUAUUCAGGAGGAAGCCAAUCCUUCCGAAGUCUGGACUCUUCUAUCAGAAGGAAUGCCUGGGGCAUUUACCCUGGAACCCAGCCACCAAGCUAUAAGGUAGGCCAGGCCUUGUGGGAGGCCACGUGCAGGUGUCCCAGCCAGCGACUCUACUGAGGACCCAGCCAGGGCUAUGGACGUGAACCCCAGAUGUUUGAGUGAGGAGAGCUUCAAGAUUCCUACAGCCCCAGCUGCUGUCUGAUGUAUUAUCAGAAUUAACUUGUGUCUGCACACCUGGACACUUGCCUGGUGUGGAGACCCCCACACCUGGUGUCAGAAGAGCAGUCGCAGGAAAUGUCUUGGGUGGACGUUCAGGUACCGCUGCCUCCGGGCUACGCAAAUAAAUCGCAGCCGACAGGCCUCUGGUUAACUCUA